UGAGGAAUAUUGGUCAAUGGACGAGAGUCUGAACCAGCCAAGUAGCGUGAAGGAUGACUGCCCUAUGGGUUGUAAACUUCCUUUAUAUGGGAAUAAAACGUUCCACGUGUGGGAUUUUGUAUGUACCAUAUGAAUAAGGAUCGGCUAACUCCGUGCCAGCAGCCGCGGUAAUACGGAGGAUCCGAGCGUUAUCCGGAUUUAUUGGGUUUAAAGGGAGCGUAGGUGGAUUGUUAAGUCAGUUGUGAAAGUUUGCGGCUCAACCGUAAAAUUGCAGUUGAAACUGGCAGUCUUGAGUACAGUAGAGGUGGGCGGAAUUCGUGGUGUAGCGGUGAAAUGCUUAGAUAUCACGAAGAACUCCGAUUGCGAAGGCAGCUCACUGGACUGCAACUGACACUGAGGCUCGAAAGUGUGGGUAUCAAACAGG
rnacentral:rRNA from 1 species